CACAAAUGGAAUGCAGUGGAAAAUGAAGAUCAAGGUGCUGAAGUCAUUCUCGAUGAAGGAGCAAGGAAAACAGAAAAUUUAGUACAAACUUGCUUGCAGAUAUUUAGAUUAUAUUUCUGGAGAGAAAGUGAACAUGUUUGAAGGAUUGUGGGCACUAACUGCAUAGAUGACCUUCAGGUAUGAUCUUAACACCAUCCUCAAUUUUUCUUUAUUAACUUUUAUUCAAAAUUUAUGGUCUUUAAUUCAUUCUGUAAAACUCUACCCUCUUUCCGAAAAAUUCUUUUUACAGAAAUGAACGAUACAUCACGAGGUGUCAUUCUUAACUUCAAACGUAGGUACACAACCUUUGAUUUUGUUUCUUUAAUUUUUAUAUCCUAUUUGAUAAGAAGUAACAUGCUAGAAAAAAAGAAGAAAACCAGGAUUUAUUUCUUGUAUUAUUAGCAAAUCUAUAUAGGCAAUUAUAUAUAUUUUUUCAAAUGCGUAAAGAAAUGACGGGACAUAAGCCCACCUUGAGGGUUGCGUAAUAUCACUGCCCGUUAAGAAGAGAAGCUAUAAGUUCAAGGCCGUGACUAACGUCAGUGGUCAGUUUGUUUACUAGCGUGUUCAGUCACCAGCAGUGUUGACGUACUGGAACCUUUGGCCAGGACGUUUUGGUUUAUCUUGCUUGGCCUCUACGAUACACUUCAUCUUAAUGAUGGUGACGACAAGGCAGAAGGACAGCAUGGUGAUCGUUUGCAACUAUAAAUGUCUCCAGUUUGUACGAGAGCCAAGGCGCAGGCAAGGAGUUCCAGAGGGAGUUUGUUGGAUGCACGGAGAGCCCGAUGCCUUGGGACUCGAAAGCAAGAAGUGCCCUGGAAUUGUGUGAGGUUGCGGACGAGGAGCAAUACAGGACUAGCUGGCUGCUGGGAAGGAUUAGAUAAAAGGCGAAGGUGCUGAGGGCAAGA
rnacentral:misc_RNA from 1 species